rnacentral:rRNA from 1 species
GACGAACGCUGGCGGCGUGCCUAAUACAUGCAAGUCGAACGCAGUGGGGACGGGUGAGUAACACGUGGGUAACCUCCCAUCAGAGGGGAUAACACUUGGAAACAGGUGCUAAACCGUUACUGAUGGAUGGAGCUGCGGUGCGUUAGCUAGUUGGUGGGGUAACGGCUCAGCAAGGCCACGUUGGAGAGCCGAGCUGUGAGGGGGAGCAGCCACACUGGAACGGAGCCGCGGCCCAGACUCCAACGGGAGGCAGCGGUGGGGAAUCUACGGCAAGGGACGAAAGUCUUACCGGGCAACGCCGCGUGGGUGAAGAAGGUUUUCGGAUCGUGAAACUCUGUUGUUAGAGAAGAGGUAUCUAACCAGAAAGCCACGGCUAACUACGUGCCAGCAGCCGCGGUAAUAC